AGUGAACGCUGGCGGCGUGCCUAAUACAUGCAAGUCGAACGGAGUGGCGCACGGGUGAGUAAUAUAUAGCUAAUCUGCCCCUUGCUGGAGGACAACGGUUAGAAAUGUCUGAUCAUACUCCAUAGCAAGGGAUGAGACUAUAUCGUAUCAGCUAGUCGGUGGGGUAACGGCCUACCGAGGCGAUGACGAGUAACUGGUCUGCGAGGAUGAUCAGUCACAUUGGAACUGAGACACGGUCCAGACUCCUACGGGAGGCAGCAGUAGGGAAUAUUGCGCAAGGGGGGAAACCCUGACGCAGCAACGGCGCGUGGAGGAUGACACUUUGCGGAGCGGAAAAGCCUGUUGUUAGGGAAGCGGUACCUAACGAAUAAGCACCGGCUAACUCCGUGCCAGCAGCCGCGGUAAUUC
rnacentral:rRNA from 1 species